UUUAGGGUCCAGCUUUCUGUGGGUGAUUCCCAGCAUGUUGCUGAGCAUGGAGGAAGCUUCCUGUCUGCUUGUUGGAUAAAUGAAUGAAUGAAUGAAUCUCACCAUGCAGUGUUGGAUAUGUUAUAUUGGCCAAGAGGAGCACGUUUGGUCGUCUGCAGUGCUGACGAGGUUGUGAAGACAUGGGGUUCUCAAACACGCUCAGCGGCCGCCUCCGGAUUUGUGCGAAUUGACCUAGAUUUCAUUUCAUUUGAUGGCAAUUUUACAUUAAAUACCAAUUUCACAA